rnacentral:rRNA from 1 species
AGCGAACGCUGGCGGCAUGCUUAACACAUGCAAGUCGCGCGGGUGGUUUCGGCCAUCAGCGGCGGACGGGUGAGUAUCGCGUAGGAAUGUAUCCCGAGGUGGGGGACAACCCUGGGAAACUGGUGCUAAUACCGCAUGUGGCCUGUGGGUCAAAGCCUUAGGGGGCCUUGGGUGCGGCCUGCGUCCGAUUAGGUAGUUGGUGGGGUAAAGGCCUACCAAGCCUGCGAUCGGUAGCUGGUCUGAGAGGACGAUCAGCCACACUGGGACUGAGACACGGCCCAGAAUCCUACGGGAGGCAGCAGUGGGGAAUAUUGGACAAUGGGCGCAAGCCAGAUCCAGCAAUGCCGCGUGGGUGAAGAAGGUCUUCGGAUUGUAAAGCCCUUUGGGCGGGGACGAUGAUGACGGUACCCGCAGAAGAAGCCCCGGCUAACUUCGUG